UCCUCCUUUCCACGUACAAUACGAGACUGGAAUAGAAGGGAGAACCGAUAGAGGUACUCAGGGUACCCUCCGCCACACACCGUCAGGUGGCUUGCGGAGUAUGGAUGUAGAUGUAGAUGUAGAAGAUCCGUAUUUCUUGAACAGAAAUUGGCAGAAAAAAAUGUGUUGCGUUACUUAUUCAAUACCCCUCGGAAAAUAUUUAGAACUUCUGUUUCGUACAGGAAACUAGCUGGGAAGAUUAUUUUUCUUUUUCUGCGAUUUUCAGUAAUAGGUAAAGCACAUUCCCUAUCUUCUCCAUAAAGAGCGGCAGUCCUGCUCGCAUCUCCUCACAAACAAGUGGAAGAUGAGUUCUGUAAUGACGUUGUGGUAGCAAAGAUAAUAACGCCACAGCUUCCAUCACAGGCUGCGCUGAUAUUUUUACUGUCGUUAAGAAGCACUCAAUGUUAGCAGUAUACGAGACCGGUGUGGCGCUUCAGCCCGAGAACCCAGCCUGCAUGAGGCGGCGAGCCGGACUGGAGCUCGUGCUUUGCCGGAUUUCAGAAUCCAGUCAAUGUUUUAGUGCAAAUGGAUCCAGAGCCAUGAUAAACUACUUGAAUGAAACUAGUUUACUGCAUUGGCUGUUUGUAUUGAACCAGAUAUUACAAGCUCAACCCUGGUUACGAGUUUACUGCAUAUCAGGCCAAUGAUGCUCUGCCGAUGAAAUUAUAUGACUGUAACCGAAAACAUGUGCUUAAUGGGUCAAAUAUUAUUUUAAGAUGGCAGUGACCUUAGUAUUCUCGGGCUGAUGGGAAACACUGCUUGUCUACAAGACAUCAGUGAAAAAUCUGUCAAGCCACUUUCUGCCAUAGUUACUGAAAUAUUAGAGUAAUUCGGUACGGAUGUCACUGAAACCAGAAGCUAUCUCUAAUUUCAUUCCCUGAAGAGCAACAGUGAUUUCUCUCAUGUUGAAGGAACCAAGUAGCUGGUUUCUGUGUUGUGGAGUGUUUUUCUUGUUGGUUUAGAAUUUUAUGUAGCUGCUGGCUUUCUCCUUGUAGUUAAAGCUGAGGCAGAACACUUCAUGAGAUCUGUCACUUAACGUAAUAUCUAACAUAUUUAUCUUUGUCUAUUAAUUUAGUCACAUUAACGUACAACUA